GAUGAAGAACGUAGCGAAAUGCGAUAAGUAAUGUGAAUUGCAGAAUUCAGUGAAUCAUCGAAUCUUUGAACGCACAUUGCGCCCGCCAGCAUUCUGGCGGGCAUGCCUGUUCGAGCGUCAUUUCAACCCUCAAGCCCUGCUUGGUGUUGGGGCCCUACGGUUGACGUAGGCCCUUAAAGGUAGUGGCGGACCCUCUCGGAGCCUCCUUUGCGUAGUAACUAACGUCUCGCAUUGGGAUUCGGAGGGACUCUUGCCGUAAAACCCCCAAAUUUUCUAAUGGUUGACCUCGGAUCAGGUAGGAAUACCCGCUGAACUUAAGCAUAUCAAUAAGCGGAGGA
rnacentral:misc_RNA from 1 species